GGUUAGCGUUCCAUAUUGUACGACGGCAGAAAAGAACUUUGACUCACAGUUUACGGUGAACUUCUCUCGUAAUGUUUCGUCCAAAGUUUACAUAUAAUCACGGAAUACAUCACUAAGAUGUGUUGACACACCAUCUUGGAUGUAUCGCACACGAAACAAUAAUUUCUUAAGAAAGUCCGAUAAGUUUUGUGUAGAUAGUUAUAGGAGAAUUGGCAAAGACAUGGCUUAGCGUCUUGGGUAUAAUUCUGUUUGUUUCUGUGACGGCGCCACAAAAUGCUGGUAAUUUGUCACAACACCGCAGAACGAGAGUAAAACUUCAGUUAAAUACAUGUGAUGGCCAAACACCGUUCCUGUUACCCAAGGAAGUUAUUGUUAAUUUGUGAUAAACAUGAUUCAGAUAUUGUUCUAACUCGGGAUUACAAGGUUUACAUUAAUGCUGUAUGGUAUGCCAUGUCACACGUGAAUAUUUGAACACGGUCAAGUACGUUUGAUAUCGUGAUUGAUAUCUUAGACCGUAAACGUUCUGUUUUGUGGUCGAUUGGUUUAAGCGUGAGAAGUACAGAUAUACACCUGUAUAGAACUGUGGUACAUUGCUGAAGCGUUUACACUGCCGAAUACGAUGGUGAUGUCGUGAACGGAAUUGUUCAUUACAAUGAAUAACGUUGUGGUCUCAACAGGGUGUUUCCUCGGAGAGCGUUCUUAAAACUGUUCAGGACAAUGGACAGUGCUUCGCCAAACGCUCUCGACUUCCCUGACGACGCCAUAGACAAGGUUGCCAGGGCAAAUUCCG
rnacentral:misc_RNA from 1 species